CGCUGGCGGCACGCCUAAUACAUGCAAGUCGAACGGAGUAGCAAUACUUAGUGGCAGACGGGUGAGUAACAUGUGGGUAUCUUCCCUUUGGUGAGGAAUAACACGAGGAAACUUGUGCUAAUACCUCAUAAGUCUUUACGGAGAAAGCUUUAUGCGCCAAUGGAUGAGCCUGCACUUGAUUAGUUUGUUGGUGGGGUAAUGGCCUACCAAGACUGUGAUCAAUAGCUGAUUUGAGAGGAUGAUCAGCCACAUUGGGACUGAGACACGGCCCAAACUCCUACGGGAGGCAGCAGUAGGGAAUCUUGCACAAUGGAGGAAACUCUGAUGCAGCGAUGCCGCGUGAGUGAAGAAGGCCUUUGGGUUGUAAAGCUCUUUCGUCGGGGAAGAAAAUGACUGUACCCGAAUAAGAAGGUCCGGCUAACUUCGUGCCAGCAGCCGCGGUAAUACGAAGGGACCUAGCGUAGUUCGGAAUUACUGGGCUUAAAGAGUUCGUAGGUGGUUAAAAAAGUUGGUGGUGAAAUCCCAGAGCUUAACUCUGGAACUGCCAUCAAAACUUUUUAGCUAGAGUUUGAUAGAGGAAAACAGAAUUUCUAGUGUAGAGGUGAAAUUCGUAGAUAUUAGAAAGAAUACCAAUUGCGAAGGCAGUUUUCUGGAUCAUUACUGACACUGAGGAACGAAAGCAUGGGUAGCGAAGAGGAUUAGAUACCCUCGUAGUCCAUGCUGUAAACGAUGUGUGUUAGACGUUGGAAAUUUAUUUUCAGUGUCGCAGCGAAAGCAAUAAACACACCGCCUGGGGAGUACGA
rnacentral:rRNA from 1 species